rnacentral:misc_RNA from 1 species
GGAAGGAUCAUUAACGUGCUCUAAAAAACUUGUCGACUGUGAACUUGUAGUAUAUAACUUAAAAAAGAUCAUUCGCAAGAGUGCUUCUUUUUGAAACCACUUUAACCAAUUAAACCAAAAUUCUAUUCUCAUCAAACCUUUUUGACUUAACUGUCGAAAAAUAUUAAAACUGACGACUUUCAACGAUGGAUCUCUAGGCUCGUGUACCGAUGAAGAACGCUGCGAACUGCGAUACGUAAUGCGAAUUGCACAACUCAGUGAAUCAUCGAAUCUUUGAACGCACAUUGCGCUACGACAGUUAAUGUCGUAGCAUGUCUGGUCGAGUGUCGUUUCCAAACCUCACAUCACAAAGUUACAUUUGUAUGUGACACUUUAGUUGAGAGUUCAAUUCAUUUUUGUCCUUUACGGGAUUAAGAAUGCAUCGUCUCUUUAAAUUGAAAUGACACAGUUAUAUAUCAAAUUUGGAGCUUAUAAGCUCGUACAUUUUGAUAUAAGACAUUUUCCUAAAGUCCCAUGUGGUAAACGCCUCAUGGUUUCAACUGAAGGAUAUUAUGGUGUCUUAUUUUCAUGGUGCGAACUUUCCUUAUUUGGUGUGUCGAUUCGAAAAAACACACAAAAGUAACAAGCGUAAAAAACUUGUCUUAAUGAACUUUUUUUCGGACAGACCUCGGCUCAGACAAGGCUACCCGCUGAAUUUAAGCAUAUAAUUAAGCGGAGGAAAAGAAACUAACAAGGAUUCCCCUAGUAACGGCGAGUGAAGAGGGAAGAGCUCAAGCUUAAAACCUGUGCCCUCUGGGUACCGGAUUGUAGCCUAAAGAAGGAAUGUCCUGGUAAACGGUGACCUAAAUGCUUAGGAAUUAGCUGCCAAAGAGGGUGAGAGCCCCGUUCAUGGUUGCCGACCUUACCUUUUGCGAUAUCCUUUCAUCGAGUCAGGUUGCUUGAGAGUGCAGCCUAAAGUAGGUGGUAUACUUCAUCUAAAGCUAAAUAUUGACACGAGACCGAUAGCGAACAAGUACCGUGAGGGAAAGAUGAAAAGAACUUUGAAAAGAGAGUUAAACAGUGCGUGAAAUCGUUGAAAGGGAAGCUGAUGGGUGCAGUGUCUCGUACGGUUAGCAUCUUAGCCUGAACUUGUUGAAGGCUUUUGUAAGUCAGUGUUAAAGCGGCUUGCAGGAGUUCAGAAGCAAGGAUGGGUGCACUAUGCUGACUGGGGCCUCUGAAUGCGUUAGGCGAGCAGGAUAAAACUUAGACACGGUAGAUUUGCUCCGGCUUUUUGAAGUGUUUAGGGAAAACUGCUUGCUUGACGGAGGGAUUAAGAGCUCGGCUCAGCCGUAUCGUUGGUUUAUUGGUUGGUGCUUGAUUGAUUACACUUCUUUGAAGUGUUGUUGAUCAGAGUGCUGCUUGUAGAUUAAGGGUACAGAGUUCUCUAGAUUCAGAGUAAAUGUUCUCAUCAGACCCGUCUUGAAACACGGACCAAGGAGUCUAACAUGUAUGCGAGUCGUAGGGUGGAAAACCUGAAGGCGUAAUGAAAGUAAAGGCAGGCUCGGUCUGCUAAGGUGGGAUCCGGACCCUUCGGGGAAAGGUGCACCAUCAACCGAUCAUGAUCCUCGGUGAUUGAUUUGAGUGUAAGCAUAUCUGUUGGUACCCGAAAGAUGGUGAACUAUGCCUGUAUAGGGUGAAGCCAGUGGAAACUCUGGUGGAGGCUCGUAGCGAUACUGACGUGCAAAUCGUUCGUCAAAUAUGGGUAUAGGGGCGAAAGACUAAUCGAACCAUCUAGUAGCUGGUUCCCUC